ensembl:lncRNA
UUUUAUUUCCAGCUUUUUAAUGUGACAGGGAGAACAAAACCAAAGUCCAUUGGAACAGCUGCAAUUUCCAGUGACAACCAGACACAGAUCAAAUAAAAAAAAAAAAAAAACCAACAUAAAAGAAGAAAGGUUUCAAUUGAUGAAAAGGAACAAAGGGACCGGAAUUGUCUAUUUCACACACACAGAGUCGACAGAACAUCUAAAUGAAACAGUUCAUUAAAUGCAGUUCAAUAACUGGGUGUUAUUUACAGUGGAACUUGCAGUGUGUGUGUACCUUUAUAGAGCACUAACACCACAUAGAGCAAAGAAAUUUCUUUCAGUUUGUUUCCUUCACAGUUCCCAGAUUUGAUUCUUCUUAAAAGCAGUGUUUGCUAAUACGAGGGUAAGAAACUGAGGGAGAAACUUGGUGGAAAUACAAUGGAUGGGGCUCAAACCUUAAUAAACCUAAAAAUAUACUGUCAGGUUCAUAUGUCCUUUGGAAAGUCAAAGGACAUGAGCAGGGAACAUAAAUGGACCUAGGGCCUCCUUAACAGUAUCAGAGUGUACUCUGUUGUUGGAGGUCUCAAAGCAGGACCUGGAGGAGACCUGCACAUCUGCAGAAAGCUCAGCUCCAUGCAGCCUCACUCUGUGCCCCUGUGUGAACUCAGUCUUGGGGCUGGACCAGGGAAUUCCAGGCUCAGGAAAUAUCUCCGGUAUCACCGAAGGGCAUCAGGCUGCCUGAUGUGCUGAACAUCUGGAUCUGAAUAUGGGUUUUCCAAGAGUGACUCUUAGUACAAAAGAUCUGUACAGCGCUGUUUAUAAGUCACAGAGCAUUCCAAGGGGAUAAGGAUCAUACGGGCAAAGAGGGGAUCACCCCACCCAGCACAAGCUGCAGCCACCACCUGUAGAACAUAGCAGAGCCAAAGACAGUGGUGGGAGUUGCCCUGCACAACUGAAUUAAAAGAAUACGUAUACAGCAACCAGUUAAAUCAACUGGGAAUAUAAGGAGGCAGAACUCUUAUUGUAAUACCACUAGUGUCUUAUAAUAAUAUUAACAAUGCUCUGUGUUCCUCUAAAUGUCUGUUUCUGCAUGCUCAGAAACUCAGUAAUGAACUCCUCCUGUGACCCUGUUACACUGCUGUACCCCUAAAUCACAGCAGGCCAGUCCGGGUUCCCUAAACCCAACUUUCCCAUGCUGCAAAGUCCCUGGCUGCAUGACUGUACUGGUGCGCCAUGCAUGCAUGAAGAGGUCCAGCUGUCUUCUAGAAGAUGUCUUUGGGAUUUAAGGCAAGUCCCCUGUCUUGGUCCUCUGUGCCCCUGUUGCAGUAAAGUUCAUGAAUCCAAGGAAAUAGUGUUCUGCAGAGAUCAUCAGUGGACCUGUGGUCAGCAGUUUUCUCUGUGGAUGGUCCAGUGCAUCCAAGACAAGGAGACUGUUCACUGUGGCAAAGAUAGGCAGGAGUAACCAAUGGAGCAGGCAUGCUGGUCCCUUGCGCUGCAGGUAUAAUGCUGAUUUUGCAGUAGAAAUAAAGCUGAGCCAUCAGAGGAGGAGCCUGAGAGAAAUCUCCCCCUGCAUGAUGCUCCAGGGUUCAGUGGCUCGGGCUCAUGGCUUGAAGCUGAGGUGCAAAUCAGAACACAGCCAAUGCUGAGGGGACUGCACCUGUCAACCAUUUUGCCUGAAGAGCAGCAGUGUGAAGCUUACACCGAUUUACACCAUGACAAGGACAAUAAACAAACACAUUAGAAAUAUUGACUAAGCCUUGUUCACACUGAAGUUGGAUGGGAGAUGUUAGUCCAGGUAUCAAAAAGGUAGAUGACUGAGCUGGAGCUGUUGCCCUGGAUUUCUCUGUUACAGGAAAGGAGUAGGGCUAUCCAGGGCAAGCCAUCUUCUCAGUAAGGUACCUGAGCAUGGCCACAUAUAUUGCCUAUGCCUUUCAGCUAAGAAUAAUGGGAACUCAGGGCAAUGAGUUCAGAUCCCGACAUCUAACUCAUAGGUGUCUAAAGCUGGGCUAUAUUGUUUCUCCUUAGUUUUUCCUUUCUUCCUUCUCUGUUCAGUGUCACCCUUUCCUAUUAGGUCAUGAAC